rnacentral:tRNA from 1 species
UCUCUGGUGGUCCAGUGGUUAAAAUUCUGUGCUUCCCAAGCAGAGGGCCCAGGUUUGAUCCCUGGUCGGAGAC